rnacentral:lncRNA from 1 species
AAAAACAUAGUGUUUUAUUUAAAACUCAUUUGGAUAUAGCUUUUUAGGUUUACUAUAAGCUAUAGGUUAAGAGCAACAAAAAUCCCUAUAAAAAGUUGCUCAUGCUAGUGUUAUAUUCAGUAGUUUACACACUUCAGUGGUAACACAAACAGUCACAAUCAUCAGUGCAGAAAACAACGUCGGACUGUCGGGUAAUAUUUUCAGCCACCCUCCCCCACUUUUGGACCCGUUUCUGGAGGACUUGAGAGUUGGCGGAGCCCAGGCACAGAAAGCGGUCAGGCACUUCGACAUGGAAGUGAUUUUCAAAAGCGAAAGGAGGACGAAUGGAUUGACGUCUGCUUAAUGUAAGAUACGGUGAGGCCAGGCACUUUGCCAGAGCCAUAGAGACACUCAGGGGAUUACGAAGCAAUGCGUGUCCAAUUUAUUCACGCCAGCCCGUCAGUGAGGGACUGGAUGCGUCCAUUGUGCGCUUAUCUCUCUGACGAAACCCGUGCGUGUCAGCCCACGACCACGAAAAUAUGUCAGCAGUGAAACAAAAGCUAAUUGUCAAACUUAGACAACCCGUGUAACCCAGCACAAACCUGGAUUAGACAACAGUGGCCUCUGAACAUGCUGGAUAUAUUAUUUUUUUUCUGAACAGAGAAGAAUCUGUAUUGCUGAUGUUCUAUAUUUGGACAGCUAAUAACAAGAACAGAUUCAUACGCCUCAACUUCUUGCUCAGCAACAGACGUUCUUCUUCUAUUGAAGCCCAAGGCACACUUCAGAACAUCUCAUGUCAUGCUGGAGAAAAUGAUCAUCAGGUUCUACACAUCAUUUCAAGAUUUUCAAUUCAACUUUUCUCUUAAGUUAUGUUAUGAAUAUGUUAACAUCAUCAUUUAAUAGGAAAAUACGUGUUAAUUUAGAAAAACGCCAACAUGGAAGCAUUUUUAGUGGUAGACUUUUGGAGCCCAAUGUAUUUAUAUUGAGGUAUUGGAGCACUUGCUAAUAGAGCUGUAGCUGCAGCCAAACCACAUAGUGGCGUUUCGUUUGGCUAACUUUGACAGCUGGGGGAAAACAAUAUCAUUUUAAUGUUGAUGAAUAUGAUAAAAUAUCCUUGCGUCAAGAAUAAAAACGGUCUUUGACGCGGCUUCCAUGAAAUGCAGGUUUAGUUUAGGCGAUAUUUGUGUGUGAGAGGCGAGUAUUGGUAGCACAUCCCCUCCCCGCUCUCUCUCUCGCUCGCGCGCGCGUUAUUUUCCAGCUCGGAGCCUCAAACCCGCGCGGCUCGAUCGAUUCGCAUUGAUUGUCCCUGACGAGCUGCUCCACUUUCUAGCCAAUGUCAGCCCGUCUGUGAUCGGGAAGGAGAGAAAUGAAGGAAAAUCUCUGCCGCCCUGGCGGUGUCAUUUCCACACACUUCGUUUGGCCGCCUGCCAGCAGACAGGACAUUCAAAAGAAGCGGAGUGGACUCAGAGAAACCAGGAGCAGAAACGAGCACAGCUGACCCCUGUUUACCACAGCAGACCACUGGAUUCAUGACCGAAUAACGUAUGUUCUGCGUCACUGCAUGGGCGUUUAAAAAGACGCACUUUAUUAAGAAGUCAUUCAUAGGUCUGCAUUUCACACAUUUACAAGUCAAUAACAAAUAAGAACGUCUGAGUUUAAAAAAAAAAAGAGUCAUUUAGCCUAUAUUUUUUUAAAAGAAUUUUUUUUUUUUUAAAAACCGUGCCAAAUUCUUAGAAAUGUAUAGUUUACUUGAACAUUAAAUACACUUUAGUGUACACCUUAAACAAUAUACAACUUUAAAAUUAUUUAAAGGUUCCUUAAAAUAUCUAAGACAUUAGAUAAAAAGCCAGAUGCUUCAUUUUACCUGGACUAAACAUGCCUUUCAUAAAAUAUGUUUAAUAUGUUUAAAAACUGAAUGACCUUGAACAGUUGCUGUAAAGGGAUCCUCUCUGUUUUAUGAUUUUCUUAUCAAAUGACAAAGAAAUGGCUACUUGCAUAUUACUAUGUCACUGACUUUGAUAUUAAGUUUAUUUAAACAUUAAUAAUAAUUUAAAACAAAAUUGCAAAAAUGCUAAAUUUAAAUAAUAAUAAUAUGAAAAGAUUAUCUCAGACUACUUAUAUGCCAAGAUUUCAUGGCCUAUUCAUUGAAGUGUUUUUCUCUUAUUUAGAGUUAGUUACACUAGGACAUUUUUUCCCCCUUAAAGCCCAACAAUUAAAAUCUUAAUCUUCUUCUUCUUCUUCUUCUUCUUCUUAUUAAAUAAUAAGAGGUAAAUACUAUAAUAUUUUUUAUUUAUUUAUAAUUUUUGGUAUAAUAAUAAUUAUUAUUAUUAUUAUUUUGGCAAAAAAAGAAUUAUGAUGAUGAUAAUAAUAAUAAUAAUAAUAAUAAUAAUAAUAAUAAUAAUAAUAGCCUAAUAAUAAUAAUAAAAUAAAAUGCAUUUUAAUGGGUUUUUGAAUUACCUCAGAACUAGACAAAAAAUAAUAAUAUUGAGCAUCUCAUCAUUCAUCCAUAAUGCAUAAAAUAAAAUGGCAGCCCAUAAUAUGUUGCUAGUUUCGCUGUGGAAUUUACUCGGAGCUCCACUGAUGCGAAAUAUCAAUUAAUACAAAAUAUCAAUUAAUAUUAUAUUAUUAGCAUUACAAAGUUUAAAAAAGUUCAGACGUGUUUGGAUCUUUUAUACUUUAUUUUCCCAUAAUAAUACAUUCCGUCGAGUAACAAUAAUAUCGCGAAAUUAAACCAAACAGUAUGAUAACAAAGUCAUGCAGUCACCACGUGCAUCCUUCUGACAUAGUUUGAUGGUAAAUAUGAAUGUGUUGAAGGG